CAGCAGCUCAGGCUCUGGAUACCAGCCUGCAGACUCACACUGUAACACCACUCCACUGAUGGUUUUAUUGAGGCCUGCAAAGCUGAUAACAGCCUCUGAGGUGUGUGUUAUGGAGACAGAUUUUGGCUUUUUCAGGAUGGAUUUUGUAACUCAGGUCUCUCCGGCCACACAUGGACUAAUCUGAGGUCCAGGUCAGGUCUACUCCACUCCACAGUCAUGUCUGAAGCAUCCAUGGUUGGGUAGAGGUAACAUGGCAAAAUGAUGUCAUUACCAAUGGUUGCAGCAACUGGCUGAUUUGCACCAAUCACCUCUGACUGACCUGAGACAACAAAGGCUUCUGUUUUUAUUUCACACAGAAAUGAACAACAAACCUUGUUAUUACUGUAAGCACAUAACAGUUUGGUAUAAUUCCAGUGAGUCAGUGACUGGCGAACUUAACUAAUGUGGUAACUUUGAAUGUCUAAAAAAAUAACAUAAGCAGUUAUGGAUAUUAUUAAUUAAAUAAUAUAAAUAUCACAGAUGGGGCCAGUUCAUCGUGUUAUUCCCAGUGAGAAAAGUAAUAAAGAACUUAACCUUGAGAUGAGAGUAUGUCAUGGCUGCACUUAC